UAUAUACUUGUCUAUGCCACAGUAAGUUGCCGUGUGGGUGCGCGCGCAGACCCGAGACUCGCACAAUAAUAAUAAUAAUAAUAAAUGCAAUAUACAAUACUAUAUAGUUGGCGGUGUGGGAGCGAGAGAGCGUUCGGUGCGUGCGUGCGCGUGUACUUUUCUGUUCGUUAUUAUUAUUAUUAUUAUUAUUAAUUCUCCCAGUUCGGUUUACGUUUUUUUUUUACUCGUUACUUGUUAGUCGUUUCGUACUUUUGUCAGUUAACAGUUUCUUCGUCCCGUCGUACUAUUUUUUUGCUCCUCGUAUCUUUCGUUUUUUUCGACGCAGUCACUGAAAUGAUCGCAUGAUAAUAAUCCCCAAUUACACCCCACGAUGUCGGCAGCGAACGGAACCGGACAGAACAUCCAGAACAACAAUAACUGCGAUCUCGAGGAGGAACUUGUGAAAACGCAAAGUGUUUCAAGUUUGGAAUCCGAGUUGUCAAAUUUUAAUAUUUAUUUGGAAAAAAUAUAUUCUUCUGAUUCAGAUGUAUUAUUAGCUAUUAAGAAAUUAAACGUAUCAAUUAAAUACUUAGAAAAUCUAUCGGAUGUAAAUUUAUUGGAAAAAAAUGAUAUAUUGGUCACCACCCUGUUUGAAGAACUUGCAGUCAAGCGUCCAUGUUUCAAAAUUCUUGGGCGUCCAGCUUUGUUGGAAUUGGCUGAAAGCCCUAAAGGUUUACAGGGCAUUAAUCGCCAUCGUUAUUGCAAUGCACUUGUUGGCGCUAUUGUCAGUGUUACAGGAAUUCAAAAGAGAGAUGAAAUGGCACGUCUUCUGAGUUUGAUCCGUUGGAUGGGUGGUAGUUUUCGAGAAAGUAUUAAUUACAAAACUACUCAUUUAGUGUCUGGUUAUGCAUGUAGUGCUAAAUCCCAAUAUGCAUAUUUACAUGAAAUUCCAGUUAUUGGAUCUUCGUGGCUACAUGCAGCAUGGGAGAGACGCGAUGAAAUGGAAUUCAAAGCAAUCAAUUCAUCAUUUUUUUCAGAACACAAGCUAAAACCAUUCCAUGGAGCCAAAAUAUGUUUUUCAGGGUUCACGGAAGAAGAACGAUCACAUAUGGUUGACGUUUUGUUACAAAAUGGAGGGACUCCAAUAGAGGAUGAAAAUGAUUCAGAAAUCACUCAUCUGGUUACAAAGGAAGGUUCUAGUCCUUUAGGCGACCGAGAUCCAAAUACAGCACCGUGUUUACGAGGUGUUUUGGCUCCUAAAAAUCUAAUUCAAGCAUUUGAUAAAGAUGAUUCAAGUCCUAAUACUCGAAAUGGGGGGUUAAAAAGAACACUGAGUGUGGUAGAUGGUGGAAAUGUGUCUCAUGAAACCAAGAAGAUUCGCCUUCAAUUUUUAGACAUGGAUUGCGAUGAGUUUUUGUUUAAACAUCCUAAUCCUAUGUCAGCAUGUUUGGAUCAAACCGAUCAAACUUCGGUUGUUAAUGAAUCUUCAUUAGAUUCAAUUCCUCCUGUCAAGAAGAAUAAUGCUGAAAUUCUGAAAGAAGCAUGGUUCUGGACAUCUGUGCAAUAUCAGAGUUGCGCCUUAACAAAAGAAUAUUUAUUAACCAAUUUAAAUGUAUCCAACACACCUACAUCUGCUCGUGUAAUGUCAUCUACGUUAACACUAAGUUCUUCUUCUCGGGCUCGCAAAAGAAAAAGGCAUUUAGACCGUUUGGGUUCUUUGCUAAGACCUAGUCCAACACCUGUAGCAACUAUUGGAGAAACAUCACCGACCAAUAGUUCAGGGCCAUCAAAACGACGGUCAUCAGCUGCCAACACCCUUGAUGGCCUAAGGUUGUCGUGUGGAUCAUUUUUAAAUUUCACAAACAGCCCAGAUCAUCCAUCACCUUUUAAGCUCCCAAAAGAUCAAGAUAUAGUUAUAAAAGAUAAACCAUUUAGUCCACGAUAUCAAGUUUUCUCUGAAUUAUUACAGACUGAGAUUAACUAUGUGGGAGUGUUAAAGACAAUAAUUACUGUGUACAAAGAACCAUUAGAAGAAAUGAUAGACAAAGAAGACUGUUUGCUUAAUAAUACUGAAAUAAAAAUUAUUUUUGGAAAUGUUUUACCUAUUUAUCAAGUGCAUCAAGAAAUGUUAGAAGAGCUCAAAUGCCUUGCUACAUCAUGGCAAGAAGAUAGUAGUAUAGGCAGUGUUUUUCUCAAAUAUUCCAGUGAAUUAGUGAAAGCUUAUCCACCGUUUGUGAAUUUUUUUGAAAAAACAAGGGAGAUGUUAUUGCAGUGUGAUCAAACAAAACCUCGUUUUCAUGCUUUCCUCAAGGUCGGUCAGACAAGGCCCGAAUGUUGUCGACAGAGUCUACAAGAACUUCUCAUUCGACCUGUGCAACGCUUGCCCAGCGUUAGCCUUCUGUUAAAUGAUAUAUUGAAACAUUCUGACAAGAAUAACCCUGAUCACCAAGCUCUAGUAUCAGCCCUAGCCAGUAUACGAGAAGUAAUGACUCAUAUAAAUGAAGAUAAAAGAAAGACUGAAGGUCAAGUUGUACUUUUUGAUAUAUUUAAUGAUAUCGAUAAUUGUCCUCCUCAUUUAGUUUCUUCACAUCGAAGUUUUAUCACAAAAUGUGAUGUAGUUGAGCUAAGUGAUAACCUUAGUGGUCGUGGGGAUCAUCUAACAAUAUUUGUUUUUUCAGAUGUUGUUGAAGUUUGUAAAAAAAGAAAAUCUUUUAAUGGAAAAAGUCCAAAAGAACUGAAUUCUGGUUCACACAAAUUAAAUGGCGGUGCCAAAUCAUAUAAACAUAUCAAAUUGAUGCCAUUAAAUAUAAUUAAACAAGUUAUAGAUAUUAGAGAGACUGAAGACUGUCGUAAUACAUUUUCGUUAAUGAUUAUUGACAAUCAUGACUUUAAAGAACGAUUGUAUACGUUUACUAUGACUGGUAGUAAUAGCAGUGCUAAUCAUAAAAAUAUAUUCUUAAAAAAUAUAUCGCAACAAGUGGCCAACACCGUGUGUUCUGGCAAUAUAUUAGUAUCAUUGGAUUCUCAGCAAUUGGACAUUGAUACAAGUGAAAUUACUACUGGUACUCUUGGGAAAGCUUUCAAGUUUGCAAGCAGAACACGCAUUAAAGUUGGACGAGCAUUGAGCUUUAAUAAAACUCCCAGCAAGUUAAAACGAGCAGUGUCUACAAUGAUGAGUCCUGUUCUCAGCUUGACUAACAAUGGAGGGCUGGGUACACACGCCCUAACACCGUCCACACAAUUAGCCAAUAUGCACUUAGCAUCGUGCACCAAUUUAAAUGUGAGCCCAUUAAAAGAGCAUAACAGUAGACAUAGUUGUUCACUAACGAAAGUCAAGAAACAUGUCAAACGCAAUUCUAAAUUGCGAAUGUCUAGUUAAAUUUUCAGUCGGCGAUCAUUUGGAGAAGAUAACAUGUGUAGUCUUUUGCUUUAUAAAAAAUUAAUUAAAAAUCUUACCUUAUUGGAUCUCAAUAAAAUAAAUAAGGAAAUGUCAUCAGAUGACCAUACGUUUCCAUCGCCACCAAUGUCAGUUCAGCCAAGCAGAAAAAAUAAAACGUCGAUGUUAAGUCUAUCGUCGGCGCCCAGGUAGCGUCCAACGGCCUAUCGAUACCUGGUAAACACUUUUCGAAACUCGAAAAAUGUUGUUUCAAUUUUAAGCCAUCAGUAUCGAUAGCUAUAUUAUAUUAUUAUAAUAAUUAUGUUUUCAAACUCAAUUUUAAAUUUUUUUAAAUUAAUUAUUUUAUUAUUACCUUUUUUGUUAGUAUUUAAGAUUUGUAUAAUUAUGUUGUUUUCAACUUUUCUCAAGACAUUCUUGCCUCAAAAUUUUCUUAUCCUAUACUUCAUUGUCAACAAUCGUUCAUUUCAUAAAUUCCAUUUCUACAAAAUUAAAUGUUUACCAUACAUGUUUACUUGGUUUCAUACUGAGUAUAUUAAAGUUACCAUGGUAUAUACUUUUGUAGUCUUAAUUUAUAUAUUUACAUAAAUUAUAUGUAAACAAUUUUAUUUUUUAAAUCAUGGAACAAUUAAAAAUAACAUUUAAAAUGGUGCUCAAAUAUUUGAUCAUAAACUACUUUAAGCUCAAACAAUAAUUUUUUAUGUAUACUAUGUGUGUUUUAGGAAUUAUAUAUUUUUAUAUAUUUUUAAAUUUAUUGUGUAAGUGUAAAUAUGACGAUUCAGUUUUGUGAUGUAUUAGAAAAAUGUAUGAAAUCAAAAUUAAAAUAAUUUGACGUAUGAAUUACAUUUUAUGUGUAAAAUAAUAAUAUAAAUAUUUAAUCUAU
rnacentral:misc_RNA from 1 species